ensembl:lncRNA
UUUGAAAUUAGUUUUGGACAGAACAUGGACACAAUGCAAUUGGGAUCAAGAAGAAGAUGUUCUCAGAAAUGAAUCAAGUCCAUGGAAUGGAUAUAGACAAAAAGAUCAUUCAAGGACUAGCAGAGGUGAGGCAGGGGUGAGGACAUCAUCCUGCUAUUUGACAGUCCCUGAAGGACAAUACAGAAGAGGACUGGAGACCACAGCAGCGAUUCUGCUCUUGCCCUACCUCUUCAAUGAGAACCCGAGUGGCCUUUAUGUCUGUGACAAGAUUUCACCUCUUUUCACUCCUUUACGGCACAUCGGUGGAUAUCCAUUUCACCAUGAGAGUGAAAUCCCGCUGGCCUUUGAUGGGGAGAAUAUCCACGCCCUCGAGGACGUUCCCAUUGGACUUGGGGCUCUGCUAGGGCUGAAUUGAUUUAUUUUCCUUAAAUUUCCCCAAAAUGUCAGAAAAACACUUGUGUUGUUCAAUUACUGUGUUCUGGGGAUAAGAGAAGUUGGGGUACCAGG